AAAUCCGGUUCACUUUAACACUGAGGCGUGACGACGAGGCACUACGGUGCUGAAGCAACAAAUGCCCUGCUUCCAGGAAAAGCCUCUAAGCAUCAGGUAACAUCAAAUCGUACCCCAAACCGACACAGGUGGUCAGGUAGAGAAUACCAAGGCGCUUGAGAGAACUCGGGUGAAGGAACUAGGCAAAAUGGUGCCGUAACUUCGGGAGAAGGCACGCUGACACGUAGGUGAAGUGAUUUACUCAUGGAGCUGAAGUCAGUCGAAGAUACCAGCUGGCUGCAACUGUUUAUUAAAAACACAGCACUGUGCAAACACGAAAGUGGACGUAUACGGUGUGACGCCUGCCCGGUGCCGGAAGGUUAAUUGAUGGGGUCAGCGCAAGCGAAGCUCCUGAUCGAAGCCCCGGUAAACGGCGGCCGUAACUAUAACGGUCCUAAGGUAGCGAAAUUCCUUGUCGGGUAAGUUCCGACCUGCACGAAUGGCGUAAUGAUGGCCAGGCUGUCUCCACCCGAGACUCAGUGAAAUUGAACUCGCUGUGAAGAUGCAGUGUACCCGCGGCAAGACGGAAAGACCCCGUGAACCUUUACUAUAGCUUGACACUGAACAUUGAGCCUUGAUGUGUAGGAUAGGUGGGAGGCUUUGAAGUGUGGACGCCAGUCUGCAUGGAGCCGACCUUGAAAUACCACCCUUUAAUGUUUGAUGUUCUAACGUGGACCCGUUACCCGGGUUGCGGACAGUGUCUGGUGGGUAGUUUGACUGGGGCGGUCUCCUCCUAAAGAGUAACGGAGGAGCACGAAGGUUGGCUAAUCCUGGUCGGACAUCAGGAGGUUAGUGCAAUGGCAUAAGCCAGCUUGACUGCGAGCGUGACGGCGCGAGCAGGUGCGAAAGCAGGUCAUAGUGAUCCGGUGGUUCUGAAUGGAAGGGCCAUCGCUCAACGGAUAAAAGGUACUCCGGGGAUAACAGGCUGAUACCGCCCAAGAGUUCAUAUCGACGGCGGUGUUUGGCACCUCGAUGUCGGCUCAUCACAUCCUGGGGCUGAAGUAGGUCCCAAGGGUAUGGCUGUUCGCCAUUUAAAGUGGUACGCGAGCUGGGUUUAGAACGUCGUGAGACAGUUCGGUCCCUAUCUGCCGUGGGCGCUGGAGAACUGAGGGGGGCUGCUCCUAGUACGAGAGGACCGGAGUGGACGCAUCACUGGUGUUCGGGUUGUCAUGCCAAUGGCACUGCCCGGUAGCUAAAUGCGGAAGAGAUAAGUGCUGAAAGCAUCUAAGCACGAAACUUGCCCCGAGAUGAGUUCUCCCUGAGACUUAGAGUCUCCUGAAGGAACGUUGAAGACGACGACGUUGAUAGGCCGGG
rnacentral:rRNA from 2 species